UCGUCACAACGGCUUCCUGGCGUGGCGAAUGUAACAUGAAUGGAGCA
rnacentral:ncRNA from 1 species